rnacentral:misc_RNA from 1 species
CGCAGUGUCGGCCGGCAC